rnacentral:rRNA from 1 species
GGGACCGUGAAACCCUGUGGGAAGCAGGAGGGACCACCCUCCAAGGCUAAAUACUACCUAGUGACCGAUAGCGUAUAGUACCGUGAGGGAAAGGUGAAAAGAACCCCGGGAGGGGAGUGAAAUAGAGCCUGAAACCCUGCACUUACAAGCUGUGGAAGCACAUUUCUUGUGUGACCGCGUACUUUUUGUAGAACGGGCCAACGAGUUACGUUAAGUAGCAAGGUUAAGCACUUAAGGUG